rnacentral:rRNA from 1 species
UACGUAGGGGGCUAGCGUUGUCCGGAAUCAUUGGGCGUAAAGCGCGUGUAGGCGGCCCGGUAAGUCCGCUGUGAAAGUCGGGGGCUCAACCCUCGAAUGCCGGUGGAUACUGUCGGGCUAGAGUACGGAAGAGGCGAGUGGAAUUCCUGGUGUAGCGGUGAAAUGCGCAGAUAUCAGGAAGAACACCCGUGGCGAAGGCGGCUCUCUGGAACGCAACUGACGCUGAGACGCGAAAAGCGUGGGGGAGCAAAACAGG